rnacentral:lncRNA from 1 species
UCUAGAGCUCCAGAAGACAUGCUAGAGCUGGACACUGAGAUCAGAGCAGAACACUUAAAGAAUUGUCAUGCCAGGGAGCCUGUAAGAAGAUAUUAUCCUGAUGGGCAGAUAUUCUCUCUUCUUUUUCCAGAUGGGACAGGACAGGUUUAUUAUCCAUCUGGUAACAUCGCCAUCCUGAUCACGGAUGUCAACAGAGUUCUGUUUACAUAUGUCAUUCUCG